rnacentral:rRNA from 1 species
AGAGCGAACGCUGGCGGCAGGCCUAACACAUGCAAGUCGAACGGACCCUUCGGGGUUAGUGGCGGACGGGUGAGUAACACGUGGGAACGUGCCUUUAGGUUCGGAAUAGCUCCUGGAAACGGGUGGUAAUGCCGAAUGUGCCCUUCGGGGGAAAGAUUUAUCGCCUUUAGAGCGGCCCGCGUCUGAUUAGCUUGUUGGUGAGGUAAUGGCUCACCAAGGCUACGAUCAGUAGCUGGUCUGAGAGGAUGACCAGCCACAUUGGGACUGAGACACGG